rnacentral:lncRNA from 1 species
AGCCGUGCAAUAAUUACAGGAGAUUGUAAGCUACUAAUGAGAUACUUCAUUACUUCUUUGUUUAGUUUGGAUGGAUGCUCCCCUAGCCUCCCAUCAGAUUGCGACCAUGAAACAAAUUAAAACGUUGACCAAUGCUGCUGGAAUUGUCCAUAUGGGACCUUUGUCAGGCGAAGCGGGAAGAUGUGGAGUAGUUAAUCCCAACAUUGUGUAGUUUUGCUCUUAGUUUAGAAAUCCAUGUACAUGCUUGUGUGGUUUCCUAGUGUUUUAUGAGAAGCUAGUACUUCGAAACGUGUACCGCAUAUAUGUUCUUCUGAGUUCGAGUCAUGUUAGGCUGUCAGUUGUUUUCUAAACACAGCCUUCUGUAAGUUAGAUGAAAUAACUAAUUAAUGGUUUUUUAGAAAACGGAAUACCGGUCUCUGCGACAUGAAACAACUGAUCUGACCUGAUACUUUCCGUUCACUCUCUUUACUGGACAUAAUAAUAUCCCAACCUCCAGAACAAUUACAAAUCUCAACCGG